rnacentral:rRNA from 1 species
AGCAGUGCCACGGUAAUACGAAGGGUGCAAGCGUUAAUCGGAAUUACUGGGCGUAAAGCGUGCGUAGGCGGUGAGUUAAGUCUGCUGUGAAAUCCCCGGGCUCAACCUGGGAAUGGCAGUGGAUACUGGCUCGCUAGAGUGUGUCAGAGGAUGGUGGAAUUCCCGGUGUAGCGGUGAAAUGCGCAGAGAUCGGGAGGAACAUCAGUGGCGAAGGCGGCCAUCUGGGACAACACUGACGCUGAGGCACGAAAGCGUGGGGGGCAAACAGGAUUAGAUACCCCCGUAGUCCCUGUCUCUUAUACA